rnacentral:rRNA from 1 species
UACGUAGGGGGCAAGCGUUGUCCGGAAUCAUUGGGCGUAAAGAGCGUGUAGGCGGCCCGGUAAGUCCGCUGUGAAAGUCCAGGGCUCAACCCUGGGAUGCCGGUGGAUACUGUCGGGCUCGAGUCCGGAAGAGGAGUGUGGAAUUCCUGGUGUAGCGGUGAAAUGCGCAGAUAUCAGGAGGAACACCUAUUGCGAAGGCAGCUCGCUGGGACGUAACUGACGCUGAGACGCGAAAGCGUGGGGAGCAAACAGG